GUACUUACUUCAGCUGCACAUAUAUUGAUAUUGGAAUACUACAGUGAAGGUUAACAUGGCUGCUGCAAGGAUGAUGUGCAAAUUUUUGAAGAGUUCCAUAUUUGG
ensembl:snRNA Gm26101 predicted gene, 26101